rnacentral:rRNA from 1 species
UACGUAGGGGGCUAGCGUUGUCCGGAAUCAUUGGGCGUAAAGCGCGUGUAGGCGGUCCGGUAAGUCCGCUGUGAAAGUCGGGGGCUCAACCCUCGGAUGCCGGUGGAUACUGUCGGGCUUGAGUCCGGAAGGGGCGAGUGGAAUUCCUGGUGUAGCGGUGAAAUGCGCAGAUAUCAGGAGGAACACCGAUGGCGAAGGCAGCUCGCUGGGACGGUACUGACGCUGAGACGCGAAAGCGUGGGGAGCAAACAGG